rnacentral:rRNA from 1 species
CAUCUCCGGGGGUAGAGCACUGUUUCGGCUAGGGGGCCAUCCCGGCUUACCAACCCGAUGCAAACUGCGAAUACCGGAGAAUGUUAUCACGGGAGACACACGGCGGGUGCUAACGUCCGUCGUGAAGAGGGAAACAACCCAGACCGCCAGCUAAGGUCCCAAAGUCAUGGUUAAGUGGGAAACGAUGUGGGAAGGCCCAGACAGCCAGGAUGUUGGCUUAGAAGCAGCCAUCAUUUAAAGAAAGCGUAAUAGCUCACUGGUCGAGUCGGCCUGCGCGGAAGAUGUAACGGGGCUAAACCAUGCACCGAAGCUGCGGCAGCGACACUGUGU